rnacentral:misc_RNA from 1 species
GAGGUAGCACUUACUGUAUGGCUUUUUCUAGUACAUGUGGGUGUGGUACGACUACAGAAGCCAAGCCAAAUGAGAAGAAGCCGUGGCACUUUGAUAUAUCAUAAGCUGUCCGGCAAGCUCUCGUCAGCCUUCUAGUUUGCGUUUUAUAUUCUCAUUUCGAGUGAUGAUGGUGAGGAAACCAAACCAAACCAAACCAUCAUCUUAAAAUUUCAAUCUUCAAAUUCAUUUGUUCUGAGAAAAAGAAGAGCGCACUUCUUGGCAUAAAACCAACGUGAAAAAACUGCCAUUUCUAGGCAAAUGGAGUUGUUUUAUCAAAUUCAAACCCACUAACCUCUUCUCAAUCCCACGAGCUUUCUUUCUCUCUCUUUCUUCACUUUCAGUGUCCUCUCUGCAGCUUCAUGGCUAGUUUUCAGGCCUGAUGGUGGAAUGACUGGUAUAGUGGGGUCUAACCUUUAAUGAGCCAAAAGUAUAGAAAAAGAUAGCCCACUAAGGAAAAAGGAGGAAACAAGAGAAACAGUGUUACCGAUCAUUCGCCAUUCACACCCUUCAUUACUUCUUUUGUUUUCAUGUUGGGGUUUUAACGUAUGUUUUGGGGUUCUGCAAGUGGGUCUUGUCUGCCUCCAGAGCUUCGAAUUUGAUGAACUUUAUUUUUUUGUUUGUUUUUCCGAUGAUGAUAAAUCCACUAGUAUUUAUUUGUUUUAGUUGAAAUACCGCUCUUACUGUAUUAUGUACAAGACAUCUUAAAAGGGAUAAGCAAAAAGAGAUUUAAGGAGAACAGAACCCGAAGAAAGAAAAGGGCAAAACAAAAAAUACAAAACCUUGGUCUGUUACUGUGCCUGGUGCAUGCACGUCUGGUCUCUUGAUCAUGACUCGUGAGGGUCUCUUUGCAUGUCGGUUCUGUGAUCUCAGUGAUUCUUGUUGAGGAUUUGAGAGGGAGAUUGCGAGAAAGACGGGGGAAAAGUGUGUCCUUUGGUUUUUCUUUUUCUUCUUCCCUUUGGUUUCUCGCCUGUGCUUAGAAAUGGAGCUUAGAACGCUAUAGCACGAACAGAGAGGGAGGUACUUCAUGGAUCCUAUUGUUGUCUUUCUCAUUUCUGGGUUUAAUAAAGAUGCUGGUUUUAACUGUACUAGCACCACUCUUUUGCCUUUCUUUUUCCUGAUAUAAACCUUCAAACAAGUCACGAGCUCACGAAUUUCUGCCAUAUUUUGGAGCGUGAAGUUUUUCUUGAUUUCAAACCAUGGAGUAAAUGGCUAUUUCUGGUGAAGAUACAUACUUUUCCAGUGGGAAUAUAGUAUUCUGAGUGAUGCUAAGAAAGAGAUCCAGAGUAACAAGUAGUAAGCAAGCUCUAAUGGCGGACUAUAGCGCAAUUCUAUCUCCAACGAAAAAAUAUAAAAAACCCAGUUCUUUUCCAAGGUUGUUCGCAGGCUUGACGUCCUUCAAGAAUUUCUCUGAAACAGCCGAGGCUGUCAUGAGCCCAACUUCAAUUCUCGAUAGCAAACCCUUCUCUGGGCUCAAAAACCCUUUCUUGCCUGACCUCCCCACCCCUAAAACCCCAGACUCGGAGACCCGGCGUACCUGGGACAAGCUGGACUCCAAAGGCAUUGGCCUUGGUAUUAUUGAUGCUCUUAAUGAUGAUAAAACUGACCCCAAUUUGUCAAAACCUGAAAGCAGAAUGGUUCUAUUCGGGUCACAGUUAAAGAUCCAAGUUCCCCCUUUGCCUCCUUCAUUUCAUUCACCAACUGAAUCUCCCAAAUCACCUGCUGAUUUUGGCAUCAAAACAAGGAAUUCUCAAUUGGGUUCUUUCUCUUCUGGGUUCUCUCAUUCUCCAGCUAAGAAAUCAGCAUGCGGUUCAGCCAAUUCGGGUAUGGAUACACCAAACUCACCACGUGUUUUCGCCGGUUGUCUCUCUGCAACUGAGAUGGAGCUCUCUGAGGACUACACUUGUGUGAUCUCAUAUGGACCUAACCCAAGAACUACUCAUAUAUUUGACGAUUGCAUUGUUGAGAGCUGCUGUGGUAUUGUUGAGUUUUCUGAUUCGAGGGCAGAGACUGCUAGGUUUUUGGGCGAUGGAUCAAGUUAUUCAUCAGGGAAUUUCUUAAGCUUCUGUUACGCUUGCAAGAAGAAUCUUGGGCAGGGAAAAGACAUUUACAUGUACAGGUUAGUUCAAGUUUCCCUUUUUUACAUGUUUCCAUUUAUUUUGAUAUUAGUUUCAGUGAAAUUCUGCAAGUUUGGUAACUUUCAAAUCAGAAAUGGAAAUUUAGCUUAAAUUUUGGCUGCUUAAAUGGAUUUUUUUUUUUUCUUUAACCUCUAUUAGCCAAGAUUGUUUGGUAUUGAAAAUAAUGUAAUAUCUUGAUAUCAACAUGUUUUAAUCUAUUUUAUGUUCAUGUUUAGUCUAUAGUUCAAUAGUUUCUCGCAUCAGCUUAGUUAGAUACCGAUGUAUUUAAGCUUUAAUCCAGUAUCUGCUCUCUAUAUAACCGUAGUUCUAUUUCUUUCAUCAUCAGCUGAGUUUGAUGCAGGAAGAUUCGAGCUUUCUAAUUCUAAUGGUUGAAUUCUGAUGCAGAGGUGAAAAAGCAUUUUGCAGCCGGGAAUGCAGGCAGCAGGAGAUGCUAUUAGAGGAGGGAAUAGAUAAGCUGGACCCUGAAGAUAUCUAUGGAACUUGUUUAUGAAAUCUCUAGCUGUUAAUACUUGCCUUAAAUGGCCACCCAAAAAACUAAACCAACUAUUUCCAUAAGGGUAACUUUGUUCUAGUAAUGUUAUGAUCAUCCAAUUUUUACAUCAAAAUGAAGACAGAUAAGAUUAUGAAUAUUAUUAUUAAGCAUAAUCAAAGAUGGUUCUUGAAUCUGUUUUUCUCUUUUAAUUUCCCUUUUGCUUAAUUUGAGGGACUGAAAGGCUGAAAGCCUGAAACUAUUUGUAGAGUUGGAUUUUUGUUUAAUUUUUAAUUGAUAAUAUUAUUGGGUGAUUGCUGUA